rnacentral:lncRNA from 10 species
AAGGGGCUGGGGAGCCGGGAAUCCCAGGGGUUUGUGGGGACAAACCAGCCACCCUCUCCUCCUGGGGCUUUUAGCUCUGAUGGGACAUGGGAUCCAACCUUUCCUGAGGACCUACUCCACACCAGGCCCUUUGCAGUGCUCUCAUUGAAUACUCACAGCUACAGUGUGAGGGUGUAAUUACAUCCCCAUUUUAUAGAUGAGGAAACUGAGGCCCCGAGUGCGUCUUCCUCAAGGCCACAUGGUGAAUGGUAAGUGGCAGAUCCUGCACACCUCUGCCAACCCGCAUGGGUGCAGGAGAGGUGGUCAGACCCACCCUUUCAAUUGGACCACCCUGCUCAGGUUGAGAAGAGCUUUCAGUGCAGGAACAGUCCCUACCAGCCUGGAAAACAGACCAGCCUCUGUCACUCCAGAGAUAACCCACUCUCAUCUUGCUCGUACCUGGCUUCAGGGAUCUUGGGGAGAGAUAAGAGGUUAAAAAAGGGACAUAUCAAAACUCCCUCCUCUUGGAGCCUGCCCAGCUUUCAUCACCCUCCUGCCUCGGCCUGCACGCUGAGCGGAUUAUAAACGCCGCAUCAGGGAGCACUGCUUGGGCCUGUGGCUUGGUAUGUGUGUGCAUGACUAACACAGAAC